rnacentral:lncRNA from 1 species
AAGUAAUCAUAUUCUAGAUCCAAAUUUGAACUAACCCAAUUCUAGUUUCCCUUGACAAUUCCAUUAUACAAGUUAAUAUUUAUUCUAAGCUUUGAUAAUUAAAAGAUUCUAGAUUAACUUACUUAGGAGCUUACAUAAUCAUCCUGAAUCUUUUCUUUUAGGCUAAACUUAUUUGGGCCUCUCAUGAAAUCCCACUUGCAUUUCUCAUAUGGUGAUACAAAAUCCACAAUCAACUCAUAGCCUUGAUUAAUAAAUAUUUAACUCACACAAAUCUAAUAAUCUGGUUCAAAGAUUUAUAAGAAAUUCCUCCAAGAUAUAAGCUCUAUGAUUUUACAUUGAGAUCAAUUCCUUAAAUAAGUAAAAUAUUUUUUAUUUGCAAUACUGCAACAUUUCGGAAUCCUGUAAACUACUAGACUUAGAGAAUCUAUUCAAAACACCACAAACUCAUUAACUAUUUCAUCCCUUUAGUAAUAGUUCCCAUUUUUUUAAUAUAUAUAUUGCAGAUAAAAGAAUCUACUAAUAACA